rnacentral:rRNA from 1 species
UCCGUAGGCGGUUUUGUAAGUCAGUGGUGAAAGCCCAUCGCUCAACGGUGGAACGGCCAUUGAUACUGCAAGACUUGAAUCAUUAGGAAGUAACUAGAAUAUGUAGUGUAGCGGUGAAAUGCUUAGAGAUUACAUGGAAUACCAAUUGCGAAGGCAGGUUACUACUAAUGGAUUGACGCUGAUGGACGAAAGCGUGGGAGCGAACA